AGUGAACGCUGGCGGUAGGCCUAACACAUGCAAGUCGAACGGCAGCACAGUAAGUUCUUGCUCUUACUGGUUGCGAGUCGGGUACGGGUGAGGAAUACAUCGUAAUCUACUUUUUCGUGGGGGAUAACGAAGGGAAACUUACUCUAAUACCGCAUACGACCUUCGGUUGAAAGCAGUGAAUCUUUGGACCUUGCGCGAUUGAAUAAGCCGAUGUGGAUUUAGCUCGUUGGCGGGGAAAAACCCCACCAAGAGGAGAAUCCGUACCUGGUCUCAGAGGAGGAUCACCCACACGGGAACUGAGACACGGUCCAGACUCCUAGGGGAGGCACCAGUGGGGAAUAUUGGACAAUGGGGGCAAGCCUGCCGCAGAAAUACCGCGUGGGGGAAGAAGGCUUUGGGGUGGAAAAGCCCUUUUGUUGGGAAAGAAAAGCAGGAGGUUAAUAAGCCGCUGUUCUGACGGUACCCAAAGAAAAAGCACCGGCUAACUUCGUG
rnacentral:rRNA from 1 species